rnacentral:rRNA from 1 species
GGAGAGGGCUAGCGUUAUUCGGAAUUAUUGGGCGUAAAGGGCGCGUAGGCGGAUUAGUAAGUUAAAAGUGAAAUCCCAAGGCUCAACCUUGGAAUUGCUUUUAAAACUGCUAAUCUAGAGAUUGAAAGAGGAUAGAGGAAUUCCUAGUGUAGAGGUGAAAUUCGUAAAUAUUAGGAGGAACACCAGUGGCGAAGGCGUCUAUCUGGUUCAAAUCUGACGCUGAGGCGCGAAGGCGUGGGGAGCAAACAGGAUUAGAUACCCUGGUAGUCCACGCUGUAAACGAUGAAUGUUAAAUAUGGGGAGUUUACUUUCUGUAUUACAGCUAACGUGUUAAACAUUCCGCCUGGGGACUACGGUCGCAAGAUUAAGACUCAAAGGAAUUGACGGGGACCCGCACAAGCGGUGGAGCAUGUGGUUUAAUUCGAUGCAACGCGAAAAACCUUACCACUCCUUGACAUGGAAAUUAUACCUAUUCGAAGGGAUAGGGUCGGUUCGGCCGGGUUUCACACAGGUGU